rnacentral:rRNA from 1 species
UACGUAGGGAGCAAGCGUUGUCCGGAAUCAUUGGGCGUAAAGCGCGCGUAGGCGGCCUCGUAAGUCCGUUGUGAAAGUCAAAGGCUCAACCUUUGAAAGCCGAUGGAUACUGUGAGGCUAGAGUCCGGAAGAGGCGAGUGGAAUUCCUGGUGUAGCGGUGGAAUGCGCAGAUAUCAGGAGGAACACCGGUGGCGAAGGCAGCUCGCUGGGACGUUACUGACACUGAGGCGACGAAAGCGUGGGGAGCGAACAGG